rnacentral:tRNA from 1 species
CUAAUCUGUAGCUCAGUGGCAGAGCAUCUGCCUUGGGGGCAGAAGGUCGCAGGUUCGAUCCCCGGUGCCUCCAGGUAGA